rnacentral:rRNA from 1 species
GCUGCAUGGCUGUCGUCAGCUCGUGUCGUGAGAUGUUCGGUUAAGUCCGGCAACGAGCGCAACCCACAUCCUUAGUUGCCAGCAGUUCGGCUGGGCACUCUAGGGAAACUGCCCGUGAUAAGCGGGAGGAAGGUGUGGAUGACGUCAAGUCCUCAUGGCCCUUACGGGUUGGGCUACACACGUGCUACAAUGGCAAGUACAGUGAGUUAAUCUCCAAAACUUGUCUCAG